rnacentral:rRNA from 1 species
GUUGUUGGGUAGGGGAGCGUUCUGUAAGCCUGUGAAGGUGUGCUGUGAGGCAUGCUGGAGGUAUCAGAAGUGCGAAUGCUGACAUAAGUAACGAUAAAGCGGGUGAAAAGCCCGCUCGCCGGAAGACCAAGGGUUCCUGUCCAACGUUAAUCGGGGCAGGGUGAGUCGACCCCUAAGGCGAGGCCGAAAGGCGUAGUCGAUGGGAAACAGGUUAAUAUUCCUGUACUUGGUGUUACUGCGAAGGGGGGACGGAGAAGGCUAUGUCGGCCGGGCGACGGUUGUCCCGGUUUAAGCGUGUAGGCUGACUUUCCAGGCAAAUCCGGAAAGUUAAGGCUGAGGCGUGAUGACGAGGCACCACGGUGCUGAAGUGACAAAUGCCCUGCUUCCAGGAAAAGCCUCUAAGCAUCAGGUAACAUCAAAUCGUACCCCAAACCGACACAGGUGGUCAGGUAGAGAAUACCAAGGCGCUUGAGAGAACUCGGGUGAAGGAACUAGGCAAAAUGGUGCCGUAACUUCGGGAGAAGGCACGCUGACAUGUAGGUGAAGCCCCUGCGGGUGGAGCUGAAGUCAGUCGAAGAUACCAGCUGGCUGCAACUGUUUAUUAAAAACACAGCACUGUGCAAACACGAAAGUGGACGUAUACGGUGUGACGCCUGCCCGGUGCCGGAAGGUUAAUUGAUGGGGUUAUCGCAAGAGAAGCUCCUGAUCGAAGCCCCGGUAAACGGCGGCCGUAACUAUAACGGUCCUAAGGUAGCGAAAUUCCUUGUCGGGUAAGUUCCGACCUGCACGAAUGGCGUAAUGAUGGCCAGGCUGUCUCCACCCGAGACUCAGUGAAAUUGAACUCGCUGUGAAGAUGCAGUGUACCCGCGGCAAGACGGAAAGACCCCGUGAACCUUUACUACAGCUUGACACUGAACAUUGAGCCUUGAUGUGUAGGAUAGGUGGGAGGCUUUGAAGCGUGGACGCCAGUCUGCGUGGAGCCAACCUUGAA